rnacentral:rRNA from 1 species
AACGAACGCUGGCGGCAGGCCUAACACAUGCAAGUCGAGCGAGCAUUUCGGUGCUAGCGGCGGACGGGUGAGUAACGCGUGGGAACGUGCCCUUUUCUGCGGAAUAGUCCUGGGAAACUGGGGGUAAUACCGCAUACGCCCUUUUGGGGAAAGAUUUAUCGGAGAAGGAUCGGCCCGCGUUGGAUUAGGUAGUUGGUGGGGUAAUGGCCCACCAAGCCGACGAUCCAUAGCUGGUUUGAGAGGAUGAUCAGCCACACUGGGACUGAGACACGGCCCAGACUCCUACGGGAGGCAGCAGUGGGGGAUCGUAGACAAUGGCGGCAACCCUGAUCUAGCCAUGCCGCGUGAGUGAUGAAGGCCUUAGGGUUGUAAAGCUCUUUCAGCUGGGAAGAUAAUGACGGUACCAGCAGAAGAAGCCCCGGCUAACUCCGUG